rnacentral:rRNA from 1 species
AACGAACGCUGGCGGCAGGCUUAACACAUGCAAGUCGAACGCCCCGCAAGGGGAGUGGCAGACGGGUGAGUAACGCGUGGGAACGUGCCCUUCGCUUCGUAAUAGCCCCGGGAAACUGGGAGUAAUACCGGAUACGCCGUAUUGGGAAAGAUUUAUCGGCGAAGGAUCGGCCCGCGUUAGAUUAGCUAGUUGGCGGUGUAAUGGACCACCAAGGCUACGAUCUAUAGCUGGUCUGAGAGGAUGAUCAGCCACACUGGGACUGAGACACGGCCCAGACUCCUACGGGAGGCAGCAGUGGGGAAUCUUGGACAAUGGGCGCAAGCCUGAUCCAGCCAUGCCGCGUGAGUGAAGAAGGCCUUGGGGUUGUAAAACUCUUUCGCCGGAGAAGAUAAUGACGGUAUCCGGAGAAGAAGCCCCGGCUAACUUCGUGCCAGCAGCCGCAGUAAUAC